rnacentral:misc_RNA from 1 species
GUCAGGAGUAAAAAAAAAGGAUGUAAAUUAUAAUAUUUUUCUUUCCUGGAUAAGUAUUGGCAAAGGUUAAGCAAACUCAGAGUGAGAGACCCAUAUAGUUGAUAACUAUGUAAUGACAGUUGUAAUAGUAUGGAUUAGAUGAAAGACUUAUGAAAGAAAAAAAAAUUGAAUAUAGAUAUUGUAAAAAAUAGUGAUUGUAAGUGUAUGAUUGAUAUCCGAUUAUGGAAAUUUUUGUAGUCCCUCUAUUAGUUAGUCUAGGAUGGCAUAUGGCAGUAUCAUUAGAAUUCAGAUGCUGUAGAGGAAUAAGUUGAUUUUCUUGUUGGAAUGCUACUUAAGCAGUGUAUGUAUAAUGUACUGCACAAACUACUGAGUUCAACCGAGUAUGGUCCAUUUUUCAUUGACGUGGAAUUAUUUGAUUGUUGGGGAAAGAAUUCUAAGUGUGAGGCUGUACACUAAAUCUGACAUGUACAUAAAAUGUUACUUUCACUAAGACUAUGAUAUGUUUGCAAAUUGGAUAAGCCCCUAGAAUCAUAGAGAAAUACUUUGUAACAGGAAGAUAAGCUGUCUAACAUUGUUCUUAUUGUUCAUUUAAGAUUUGGACUUGCACAAUUGUCAACAAAAGGUGAUACCUAGUUGGUAAGGGGACUGUUUGAGUUGUCUAAUUGAGUGAUUGAUCUAGUGAUGCUAAUGCACUCGGCAUUUGUUUGUAUAUAUGCUCUCCACUUGCCUCCAAUUAUUAUUAUUAUUAUUAU